rnacentral:rRNA from 1 species
AACGAACGCUGGCGGCAUGCCUAACACAUGCAAGUCGAACGAGACCUUCGGGUCUAGUGGCGCACGGGUGCGUAACGCGUGGGAACCUGCCCUUAGGUUCGGAAUAACUCCCCGAAAGGGGUGCUAAUACCGGAUAAUGUCUUCGGACCAAAGAUUUAUCGCCUUUGGAUGGGCCCGCGUUGGAUUAGCUAGUUGGUAGGGUAAAAGCCUACCAAGGCGACGAUCCAUAGCUGGUCUGAGAGGAUGAUCAGCCACACUGGGACUGAGACACGGCCCAGACCCCUACGGAAGGCAGCAGUGGGGAUAUUGGACAAUGGGCGAAAGCCUGAUCCAGCAAUGCCGCGUGAGUGAUGAAGGCCUUAGGGUUGUAAAGCUCUUUUACCCGGGAUGAUAAUGACAGUACCGGGAGAAUAAGCUCCGGCUAACUCCGUG